rnacentral:lncRNA from 1 species
GUCCUACAAAAUAGUUUAAGGCAGGCUAAUUCAGUUUUCAUUUUCAAGGUUGAUCUGCGCUGUGCUGUUAAAAGCUAGAUUUGGAUACGUUACGCAAAAAUUGACUGUAAGAUUGUUUACAGCCAAAUAUAGAACAGUCACUGACGCACGCGAGAAGCGGCGGGCCGCGCUGGAGCGUCGAGCAAAGCACGUGCCAAUCUGAUAGUUAAUCGAAUAACGACAUCCAACAUUCAACUACAAUUGAACGAAGUCCGAGGACGAGAGACAGCCAACAAACGAAUAGUGGGAAGUCGCCAUCUUUAGCAAAAGUCGCCUCGUUCGACAAGGAUGAAACGUUAAAGCUUACCUCUACGUGCGGUGCAUUGCAUGUACAUGCAGAAGUAACACGGGAGAUUUCCGACUACAUCAGCA